AGAUUGAACUGAAGAGUUUGAUCCUGGCUCAGAUUGAACGCUGGCGGCAUGCCUUACACAUGCAAGUCGAACGGCAGCGGGGGUAGCUUGCUACCUGCCGGCGAGUGGCGAACGGGUGAGUAAUACAUCGGAACGUGCCCUGUAGUGGGGGAUAACUAGUCGAAAGACUAGCUAAUACCGCAUACGACCUGAGGGUGAAAGUGGGGGACCGCAAGGCCUCAUGCUAUAGGAGCGGCCGAUGUCUGAUUAGCUAGUUGGUGGGGUAAAGGCCCACCAAGGCGACGAUCAGUAGCUGGUCUGAGAGGACGAUCAGCCACACUGGGACUGAGACACGGCCCAGACUCCUACGGGAGGCAGCAGUGGGGAAUUUUGGACAAUGGGGGCAACCCUGAUCCAGCAAUGCCGCGUGUGUGAAGAAGGCCUUCGGGUUGUAAAGCACUUUUGUCCGGAAAGAAAUCGCACUGGUUAAUACCUGGUGUGGAUGACGGUACCGGAAGAAUAAGGACCGGCUAACUACGUGCCAGCAGCCGCGGUAAUACGUAGGGUCCAAGCGUUAAUCGGAAUUACUGGGCGUAAAGCGUGCGCAGGCGGUUGUGCAAGACCGAUGUGAAAUCCCCGGGCUUAACCUGGGAAUUGCAUUGGUGACUGCACGGCUAGAGUGUGUCAGAGGGAGGUAGAA
rnacentral:rRNA from 1 species